ACCGUCAUCGCUCAUUCGGUUAGAGCGUGGGUCUAAGAAGCCCAAGGUCGCAGGUUCGAACCCUUCUGGCGACA
rfam:Angiostrongylus cantonensis strain Taiwan genome assembly, scaffold: ACAC_contig0003243